rnacentral:tRNA from 1 species
CGCGGGGUGGAGCAGCACAGUAGCUCGUCGGGCUCAUAACCCGAAGGUCGUCGGUUCAAUCCGGCCCCGCAACCA